rnacentral:other from 1 species
GAUAGCCUGCCGGGUGCGCUUAUCUUAGACAUAUAUAACCCAACACACACUUAAAUGGGAGUUUCAGACGAGUAUGGAGUGCAGACCUCCUCGCAUUGCGGGAUGUUGGGAGUACGGUAGUACAAGAUGAACACCCACCUGCUACAUACGCAGGUUAUUAUCCUCUAAGUGCCCGGCUCGGCGGGUUGCAA